rnacentral:lncRNA from 1 species
AGCUGCUCUUCCUUACCCAGACGGGACAGUCGUGGACCACCAGCUUGACAUUCCCAAACGCACUGGCCUGAUACUCGGUGAACACCGGACGCGCGACCGUGCUGGCCGCGUUCAGCAACAAGCUGCUCUCGUCCCCGGAGACCAGAGGGCUUCUCCCCAGGUUCAGCCAUUUAGGAAAGAUUGGUGACCUAUCUGCAUGAUGGCAUUAACUACAAGGAUCAUCGAAGAGCCACAGUCACAAAGCCAGUCUCUGAAUAUGGUUCAAAGAAAUCUUAUAACUCUCUGAACAGAAGCAACCGAAUAUAUGGACCCCAUGACCCAGCUGUAUUAGUCUGUUCUCAUGCUGCUAAUAAAGACAUACCUGAGACUGCAUAAUUUAUAAAGGGAAGA